rnacentral:pre_miRNA from 12 species
ACAUUGGUUUUGAAAGUUCACAGUUUAACACCAUGGAUCUCCAGGUGGGUCAAGGUUAAAAAAUGUACCAACCUGGAAUACUCCAUGUUGUUGAGCUGUUCACUAGCAUCAGAUACCAAUA